GGCAAUGUGGCUCAGUGGUAGAGCACUACUUGCCUAUACUGUGUGAAACCCUGGGUUCCAUCCCCAGCAUUGUUA
rnacentral:tRNA from 1 species